rnacentral:lncRNA from 1 species
CGCUUUCCUCUUCUCAUCUCCAUUUCUGUAGGAGUUGUAUGAUUGAUUUCUGAGGAAGCUGAAUGCAGGUUAGAGACCUCGACCUAGGGAUUUGAUUGCAUGACAACUAUUAGGCUCGAGUAUCAGUCUCCCUAUUAGUUUGUUGUUUCCCUGGUCUCUGGUUAGGAGAGUGUUGUACCCCUGUUAAGAGGAACUACGUCGCCCUGAUUCUCAUACCAGAUGAGAUACGUAGGCAGGAGGUUGUGAGCAAUCUCUCCGGGCACCUUUUUU